UUUUGAAUAAAGUUAACCAAAACAUAACUAGUGACCACACUCCAUGUUAGAGUAUAUGCAGAAAUGGAUCCCAACAACGAAAAGCAAAGGAAAAAAUGCGGCAUAGUAUAACAAUAAUCAAGGUUUUUAGAUACCAGUCACAUGUUAUGUUGAUAAUUCUUAUUAAAAGGGUUCGUUAAUAAUUAAAGAAAAUAAAUAAAGCUGUGUAACAAUGAUGUCAUUACCAUUUCCAUUUCCAUUUGUAGUCUUCAGCCUCAAAGCUCUCAGGUUCAUCAUAUCUCUCUAUAGCAUGCAGUGCCG
rnacentral:lncRNA from 1 species